GUUUUGACUUGUUUUCUCCUUAUUGGGCCAAUUCUGUUAAUGCCUCCUUAGGAUAUACUAUAACUCUUAAGGCUCCCUAGCUCUAUAGUCAUAUUCAGCCUUUUGAAAACAACAACACAUCCUUAGGGGCUCUUAAGUACACUAGUGAUAAUGUUAACUGAAGCAGCCAGAGAUCUUUCCUUUCUUGGCUAAAAUAUUUCUGCAGGACAGUGCCACAGCCUUGGCUAUAUUCCAUCAGUCUCAUCUUCCCUGGCUCACUGUCAUGGCUUGCUGGUCUGGAACAAAGCUCUCAGAUAUGUUGCAAGAAAUAAAAAAAACCUUAGAGAGUUAAUGACCACAGUCAGAACUAGUAAUAUCAAGCAACUCCAAGUUAAAGGAACAUGUGGCAGAUCUUCACACUGGGCUCCCUUUGUGACUCUUUGAUGCUGCGCAGCUGUAGAACAAUUCAGAGUGGUAACACCUGCUGUAAAACAGCUCAGCGACUGUGCUAAUUGCUUAACUGAGGAAAAACAGCAUUAAAUAACAUGAGGGUGACCACACUGUUUCUGUCUUCAAUCACUCAACAAGAGAUCAAACACCAAGAUCUGCUGCUGAAACACGAUGAGAAGGAACAGGAGACUUGUGCUGCACUUAGAGCUUGAAUCUCAGCUAAUACCCCAGGGAAAGAAUUUGAACAUAACUUAAAGGCAUUUUGGGUGUUUUGGGACCAUCUUUCCUGUGUUUCUACCAGUGCAUAUUCUGAUGGAUGUGUCUGGGGGCUGGAAGGAAGCAAGUGCCUGCAGAACCCUAAAUGCACAUCAGCCAGCCCCAAGUUUCUGAGGAAGGAGCGUCAGUGAGGAGCUGUGAAAUCAGCUUUUUACAGAUGGGACAAAACCUCUGGCCAGGAGCUUUCUGGGUAACAGCUCCCACCCUGCUGUAAGGAGCCUUUAGGCAAAGAGAUCUGUAAACAUUUUUGCCUGAGAAACAGAAUGGUGAGUGCUGAACUACAUUGAAAAGUGCGAUGGGCGCCUAUGGAUGUGGAUAUUUAUUGUCCAAAACAGAGACCAUUUUUUAUUAUUAAAUUAAGGUGCUUGAAAUAAGAUCCUUUGGAGCAUCCUCUGCUAUUUAUCACAAAAACAGCUGCAGAGCUGAAACAUGAGAUGUAGAAGGCAAAAUGAAUAAAGAUUGUCAUCCUUUCUGGUUUGUCUCUUCCUGCGGGAUUUCUGAGGUUCCCUUGCAGAGAUACCAAUCUUGUGUGAUUACAGUGAGCAUGAUUACGUCUGGAUGUUUAGCACCAAUUUCCAAGCUGAAGACUGUAAUUUUAUUGUGUAUUAUUUAUAAAGUUCCUGCUAGGCCUAAAGCUUGCUUCAGGAGAGAUCACUGUCGAAUAUUUGAGCUGAACCUGUCUCAUUCCACUUAACAAACCACUUUAUCAGCACAGUGUCCACAGUAAUGCUGAACACACUUCCCAACAGGUUAUAUUUCAACUGUUCCAUUACUUUAUCAUCAGACUGGUCCUCCUUGUUGGUAAAUCCCUUCUUACACCUUGGACUGAGUGCACCAGCUGACAAGAGGGUCAGGGUUUCCUGCCUGCAGCUGAAUGUUUUUUCACCACCAGCAUUUCACUCCAAAAACUUUGGACUGUUCUCAGUUUUCAAGUCAGCAACUGGAUCAUAUUUAUUUAGAGCUGGCUGUGCAAAUGUAUUGAUUUGUAGUCUGCUAUUGUUUUGUGCCUUGUAUUUAUGUGGCUCUAAUGGACUGAAAGUGUUUCAAAACUGAAGGGGAUUAAAAUAUAGAGCUUUUUCUCUGGGUAAGUGUAGGGAAUAUUAUAACUUGAAAUCUGUUCUAAAAUGUGAUUUUACAGCAUUUAUAUACUGUUAUUUUAAAGCUAGAGAUACUGUGCCAUCCAGUAAUUGAGUACAAAGCCAUGAAAAUAGAAAGAAAUGAAGGUACAGAGAGGAAACAAUGAAGCUGGCAACACAAACCCUUGUCAAAUGUGAGGAAUGAGCUUUGAAACAAGCUCUGACUUUGCCUCAGCACCACUUGCUUGGUCGAAUAAUCUCACCCCCCCAGCCAGAUGUCACCAUAUGGCCGGUGACAACUUUCAAUUAGAGGCCUAUGGUGUUUAUCAUCUCCUUUUACAUAUGGAUAAAAAGCAGUCCUGUGACCUGCCCAUUGCACCCAAGGGGAUUGUGCUCCUUCUUUAAAAGAUGUGCAUGCCAAGACUCACUCCCAUCCUUGGUGCUAUAAAUUUCCAAGCCCAGUUUUAGUGUUUUGAACCUUUGUUCAGCCAUGGCCAGCUCUGAAAACUGGACUGAGCCUGCAUCUCCAAGCAGUCCCUGGGUACUGAGGGUGCUUUUUGGAGAAGCUUAGGGCUCAGCUCUUGACAGUGCUGAAAAUGUCACCGUGCAGUUGGUCUGAGCCUCACAGCUGCCUUGGCUGCCCACUUCUGCAAGGGUCAUUUUCAGAGCAAGCCCACACAGAUGGGAAUGUUGUGUCAUGCAUCCUGAGUACAGAGCAAGGAGCCCAGUGCACUGUGACAGCACCAGCCACAUUUAACAAGGAGUCCUGGCACCCUUCACAAAUGAGGGACAGAUUUAAUGGUCCAAUCAUCUUCUCAUCCUUGAGACUGUGUAAUGAUUAUCCAACAAAUUUGAUUAUAGGAGUUACUAUGUGUUUUAAGCUAACUUUUGUGCAUGGCUGGGCUUUCCCAGUAAUCCUAUACAGUAUCCAAGGCAUCAUUCAGUGGCUUCUUGCAAAUUCCUGCAAAGCAAUUACUGUCUUUUCUACGUAUCCAGAAAUUGUCAGUUUCAGGUGCAAUUAAAGUAAAAUUGCUUUCAGUAGGUACUUGGCUAUGAUGACUUUUGCUGGUCAUAAUUCUCUCUACACUAUGUUGUUUCUUCAGAUAAAAAUUAUAUUUCUCUUGUGCCCUGGAAUCUCAAGCUCGUUUUUGACCCAAAGUAUCCUCAGAGAGUUGUAAAACUAAGAUGUUAUAACUGCACAU